CAUUACAGAGUUCUGCCCUUCGGGGUAGACCUCCCACCCUUGUGUAUUUAUACCUUUGUUGCUUUGGCAGGUCGCCAGGCUCGUCCUGGCUACCGGCUUCGGUUGGUGCGUGCCUGCCAGAGGACCCCAAACUCUGAAUGUUAGUGUCGUCUGAGUACUAUAUAAUAGUUAAAACUUUCAACAACGGAUCUCUUGGUUCUGGCAUCGAUGAAAAACGCAACGAAAUGCGAUAAGUAAUGUGAAUUGCCUAAUUCAGUGAAUCAUCGAAUCUUUGAACGCACCUUGCGGCCCUUGGUAUUCCGAGGGGCAUGCCUGUUCCAGCGUCAUUACAACCCUCAAGCUCUGCUUGGUAUUGGGCACCACCCGUCAGGGUGUGGCUUAAAGACAGUGGCGGUGCCAUCUGGCUCUAAGCGUAUUAAUUCUCUCUCUAUAGGGUCCUGUGGAUGCUUGUCAGAAACCCAACUUUUUCUUAUGGUUGACCUCGGAUCAGGUAGGGAUACCCGCUAAACUUAUUUAUCUCAAUA
rnacentral:rRNA from 1 species